CCUGAAUUCCAUUCCCAACAAUAGCCGAUGUACCAUUAUUGAUACUAUUGCCGUCAGCAAGCGUAGGUAAGCCAGUACCAUUCUUGAUGCUAUCAAGAAUGUGAUCAAUACCUCCAAAGAAAUCAUUAACAAGAUUAUCCUGAUUUGAAGUAUCAUCAACUGAAUCUUGAACAAUUGAAGUAUCAAAAUCGACAAAAUUGUCAAUAAGAUCACAGGAAAUGUCCUCACAGGCAUCCAACCAGUAAG
rnacentral:misc_RNA from 1 species